rnacentral:lncRNA from 1 species
UUGUUAUGUUGCAGGUACUGCUUAUUAUCUCUGAAGACAGGUGCUAUAUGAGCCACCUGGUGCUGGUUACCGGCGGGACGCACGGUCUUCCUCCUCACAGAGGGUCUUCUUGGUUUCAUAUGAGAGGUCACAUCAUGUGCCUCUCCAUCUUUCUUUUUCGCAAACGCCCCAUAACGUUUGGCAGAAGAGCCUUCCUCUCUUGUAAGACGCCCUUCCCUAACCCCUUCUUCUAGA